ACGUAGGGGGCGAGCGUUGUCCGGAAUCAUUGGGCGUAAAGAGCUCGUAGGCGGUUCAGUAAGUCGGCUGUGAAAUUCCGAGGCUCAACCUCGGAACUGCAGUCGAAACUACUGUGACUCGAGUCCGGUAGAGGAGAAUGGAAUUCCCGGUGUAGCGGUGAAAUGCGCAGAUAUCGGGAGGAACACCAGUAGCGAAGGCGGCUCUCUGGGCCGGUACUGACGCUGAGGAGCGAAAGCGUGGGGAGCAAACAGGA
rnacentral:rRNA from 1 species